GCGAGGCAAGCUGUGUAAUUGCGUUGACUGGCGCCCCCGUUAUGAAGUCCUGGAGAGUGGUCCCCUUGGACAUAACUCUGCAUUACUCUAGGGGCCUCAACCUCAACAGUGGGCGCAAAGCUAACUUUGACGGGGAACUGAAGAGACACAUUGGUAAUGCCGUCGGGAACAUCUUGAACGGUCCGUUUCGAGAAGACCUCAACAGUUCUGUUCCUCUCUCGAUGCUUUACGUUCUACAUAUGAAAGAUCAGGAUUAGGCACAUUAAAUGAUCCUGAUGUAUUAAGUACAAAAUCUGCGAGUUGGUAUUAGUCUAACGUUAUCAGGUAGCAUUGAAAGACACGAACGAGAGGAAGGAAAGACGUACAGGACUUGGGUGUGUCCUGUGUGUCACCCGAUUAGAGUGGUUUAUUCCAAUACACGUAUAUCACACAGCAUACUUCUGUACGCGAAGUCUAGCACUUUGUCCCGUCUUUCCUUUCUUCCGUCAGUGUCUUUCAGUACUCACAACAACAACAAAAUAAAUCGCGAGAGAUUGGGUGAUUCCCCGGUUGAGAGGAGUACACUGCCCUAUUACACGCAAAUGAAGAGUGAAGUUAAAUGAGCUAUGUACAAGUCGUUUGAGCUGUCCUCUACUGGUAUGUGCUAACACCGAACACAAGGAAGAAUAGGAAGAAAGAAGUACCGAUGGGCAUUCGGAUACAGAGUACCAUACGAUCAUAAUCAGCGUCUGGAACAAACUGGUAGACAUCUAAAACUCCGUGAACAUUAGAAGACCUCGACGGUGCAGUACAAAGUUCUGGCAUGGACCAAUAAUGGCAGCCGGGUUUAAUGUCUGCCUUGCUAGCAGCAUUCAACUGAGCACAGAGUAGCCGCCUCUCCAUUUCGUAGCGCUCACAUUCUAUAAGGACACGCUCAACGUUCGUCACGACACCGCAUUUGGAGCAUAGGCUAUUGUCACAGGAUCCGAUCCGGUAUUUGAAUUAUGCAGUGAAAGCUACAUUGAGACGAAGUCUGUGCAUGAGGGACGUAAAAGUUGCGUGGUAAACAGGACAAAUUUGAGUCCACUGAAUGCUUGACAGACCUGUCAGUGAUGUCCGGACUCCAUUGCUGCCGAACUAGUGUCUGGAUUAUCCUUUCAGUGCUGGAUUAUCAUGGUCCUUGUGGUAUUCUUGCCGGCGCUUGAUGUCAGUGUCGUUGCGAACGCACCGACAGCCACCAGGGAUUGGAACAGUUAUUUUGGGGGCUCGAUUCGAGAACGGUUUCAAGCAUAUCGGUUAGGUUCAGAUUCGGGUCUAGAGCAGAAAUUAUAGAGGUUAGAACCAAUUUAAACCGGGUCAAACAUGUCCACCAAAACAAAAUUUUUAAACAUGGCUUAGGUCAUGUUAUGUACAGGCGUCGCCACGCUUAACCGUAGCGCAGGGUCGCGUGGCCUGCUUGCAUGCCAGCGCCGCCUUGCGUCGAUGCUGGGGUGGAGACUCUACACUGUCAGCCAAAAUGGUGCUAAAAAGGGAUAAACGGGGUGCAAAGGAGGGUCUUGUCACGUCGUUUAGACCAUAAGGGCUAUAUGUAUACCUUCCAAAUGGUAUAAAUAAGUGUCAUGUUGCAACGAUAUACCUUGCGCGCUGUCAGUAGGUAUAAAAGCAGUAUUAUGUUCCACGUUUAUACCUUCAGGGUUAUUUUUUUAUACCUCUGCAUUCCGCGAGACCUCGUUGGCAACCUGCUCCGCCAGGGAAGGUAUACUGCAUUAUAAUGGUAUAACUUGUUUGUGAUUGCCUAGGAUGGCCGCUUGCGCUGUUUUGCUGUAGCUUUGCGUCGAUAAAACACAAGAAUACUGUGAUUCAGUGAUGUGCUUCAGUGAUGCCAUGUGGCGGAUGCAAGUUAUAAGUGGAAUAUAUCAUGCGUCUUCGUGCAUUAGCGGCUAUAUUCACAAAUUGGAGUUGGUUUGUCAUCUGCGCCGUUUUCAUACAAAAUGCGGCAGUGUUGUCGUAGAAGUGUUGUUGUGAACUACGAUGUCCAAACACUAUGAGUUGUUGUUAGAAUUUUCCUACACAAAACGAUAUAUUUAUUUCCAGUGCACUAUAAAAUGUAUGUCCUUUUAGCGAAUGAAAUUCACAUUUUAGCGGCCGUUAUGCUUAGCAGGGUGGACGUGUCGGAACAACAACAACAACUAAAUCAUGACUAUGGCCUGGGGUGAUUCACCGCUUGAGAGCAGUACCCUACCCCAUUACACGAGAAGCAUGAGAUGUGAAAUAUGAAAAUGAAGUUAUGUGCAAGUACAACUCGAACUCCCGUCGUCUGGUUGCGCAACGCUAUACGUCGCACAAAAGGAAGAUGCACAUGAAAGAAGCCAAUGGUCCUUGAGAUGCAGGGGUGGACCCUACAGCGUCUGGAGCAAGCCGGUAGCCAAGAGGAACUCCAAGAACAUCAGAAGUCCUCGACGGUGUUGGACAUAGCUCUGACAUGGGCCAAGAAUUGCAGCCAGGUUGAACGUCUGUCGGCUAGCACCACUCAGCUGAGCACAGAGUUGCCGCCUCUCCGUUUCGUAGAGCUUACAUUCUAUUAGGACGUGCUCAAUGUUCGCUUCAACGCCACAUUUGGAGCAUAGGCAGCUGUCACAGUAUCCGAUUCGGCACUUGAAUUGGGGAGUGAAGGCAACGUUGAGACGAAGCCUGUGCAGAAGGGACGUAAAAUAGCGUGGUAAACGGUCAGGAACUGAGAAGGACAUAGUGGGAUCCACCGAAUACAUGAGAGACCUGUCAGUGAUGUCCCGACUCCACUGCUGGCGAGCUAGUGGCUGAAUGAGCUCAUUCACAAGUGAUCUCCUGUCUCCUCUUGAUAACACCGUUGGUACAACAGUCCGAGACUGUUGGGCAGCCGUUGCCGCUCUGUCGGCUUCUUCGUUUCCGCUCAAACCACAGUGACCCGGGACCCACUGCAGGGAUAUAUGAUGACCAUGAUUGCGUAGAAGCUGAACCUGAUGGAGGAUAUCAGUGACAACUGGGGCGAGCGAUCCACGUAUUCCCAUGUUGGCUAUACAUUGAAGAGCAGCCUUUGAAUCUGAGUAGAUGACCCAGGCCCGCGGAUCGUCACAGGGCGUCUUACGUAGAAACAACAGGAUAGCAUAUAACUCAGCCGACGUUGAUGAUGUGCGGUGUGAGAGACGGUAUCCAUGUGACACACCGUCAGUUGGAAUAACAAAUGCAGACGAUGAACAUUCAUGACUGGAGGAUCCGUCAGUGAAAACUGCAGUGUGAUCAGAAUAGCGAUUGUGCAUCAUAUCCGCUGCAAGCUGUUUCAGAACUGAUGUAGGCACUUGGUUUCGUUUGACAUUAAGACCAGGAACUGACAAUGCGAUCGAUGGUACUGGAAGCGACCACGGAGGCGUCGUAGGCACCACUGAUCUUGCAGAAAACGGGGGAACCUUAGGUUUCACUUCCAUGAAACAGUUGUAUGCGUUACAUUGCUUCCGGCGACAAACUUUUGCUAUUAGUGGAUGGCGGCGGUGGUGUGCUCUGAGGCGCAAGUAAUGGCGAAUGGUCUCCCUCUGCCGUAAGACUUCAAUGGGUAUUUCGCGGGCUUCUGCUAUCACCAUCCGCGUUUCCGCGGCUCUCGGGACGCCAAGACAUACCCUUAAGCUCCGUGCUAAAAUACACCGCAGUCGUUGUUCUUGCGUCUGUGAAAUUCCGUGCAAGACUGGUAGGCUAUAUAGCAGAGUCCCUCGGACUAGGGCUUUGUGGAUGGCCAGAAGAGACUUCUCAUUCAUUCCCCACUUCGGCCCAGCAAAGUGGCGAAUGACGGAAAUCCACCGGUGUGCCUUUGUGUCCAGGUGAUCGAUGUGUUUCUUCCAGGACAAGUUGGAGUCUAGGAUGACACCCAGGAAUCUAUGGUGUGCUACCAGCCUAAGAGGCGUAUCGCCAAGGAAGAGCUGAUACCGAUGCAUAUGCUUCCGAGUAAAAGCCAUGACUGCUGUUUUCUCAGUUGAUAUAUCCAUGCCUGCCUCCGUUAGGUACCGCAAGAUGUUAUCCAGGGAAUGCUGGAGACGGCGUAGGAUUGCAGGCCUCGAUUUCCCAACAGUCCAAAUGCAGACGUCAUCAGCAUAGAUAGAUAUAUUGACUUUAGGGGCGAUACAGGACUUUAGGCCUGCCAUUACAAGGUUGAAAAGGAUAGGACUUAAAACGCUGCCUUGUGGUACGCCCUGAGUCAAGACAACUUUCGAAGUGACUCCUUCUUUUGUGCGAACAGAGAGUGUUCUAUGGCGCAAAAAAUCAGCCAGCCACAAGAGCAUUCUGUCGGGAACGCCUGCUUGCAACAAAAGAUGCAGAACGUUGGCAUGACUGACGGUGUCGUAGGCUCUCUUGACGUCCAGGAACACUGCCAUGACUAUUUUCUUCUGGCUCCUCGCUUCCUCGACGGUGGUGACGAGAUCGAGAACAGAGUCUAUGGAGCUACGAUUCCGACGGAAGCCUGCCAUCUCUUCGGGGAAGGUACGAUGACCCUCAAGCCACCACUCCAGUCUAUGCAAGACCAUUCGCUUCAAGACUUUACCAAGACAGCUCGUCAGGCUAACUGGACGAAAGGAUGACAGGUCAGAUGGGUGCUUUCCAGGCUUUAACAGCGGGACUACUACGGCAUCUUUCCAAGACUGCGGCACUUCACCGCUUCUCCAUGAUGUAUUGAAGGCAUGGAUCACACAGGAAACACAGCCGUCGCUAAGGUUUCGGAUGGCUCGAUAGGAGAUUCCGUCUCCACCUGGCGUCGAUUGUACUCGUGACAGGCACACCGCGGCUCUGAAUUCACCCAAUGUGAAGUCCAUAUCCAUCUGUUCGUUCACCAUUGGUUCUCUUCGUGAGAUCGCCUCCUGUAUCUCGGAAGUGGAAGCGCGGAAUACGUCAGUGUUUGAAGCUUGCGAAUCGUGUCGGAACAGCAUGUUGGUGUUCGAAUUCAUUGUUAUUCCUGUAUUCAUACGAGCGUCGUCUUCUGCAAUGUGAAGCUGGAUAGAUUUUCCAGCUCCUCUUAGAUGACACAGCAUUAAUAACGCUAGAAAUGUCAUUAAGAAACGUUCGAAUUGUGCGUUGCAUGGCAAACAUAUGUAUCGCUUUGAAUUAGCAUUCGGGACAUUCCCUCUUUAAGCCUAACUACGAUUUAUUUUCGCAUUGUUUAUUUGCGGCGUGGAUUUUUCACGGGGAUUUUUUAAGAGUGCAUUUUUGAAUGUUUCGGCGUAAACCCCUUCGCAGUUUCACAGACACAGAAUAAAUGUUCUAAGUGCAUCUGUUGACUUUGCACAGUAUGCAUGGGAUGUGUAGAAUGAUAGAGAAAAUAAUACUAUAAGUAAUUUACAGCCUUCAAAAAAACUUCAGGUUUCCACACAUUGCAGGUACUGCAAAUUUCUACUGCUGGAACAUGAUUUUACUACACACAUAAAAUUUUCAUCAGACAGUCAAACGUUACGGAUAGCAACAAAAGACGAAAAUCUGGAAUCAUUCGAAAUCGCAAAAUUCCACUAACAACCACUGGUCAGCAUUGUUUCCCAAAACUCAAGGUCUUCCCAUGCAAGACAGACAGGCAUAUACACUUAACCAGUUUUCGAACUCAACAUCCAUAGCUACCUGACCCAAAUACGCUGAGCGCUUGGAACAUUCUUCGACCAUUUACCUUUUUGUUCCCGCUUUUCCCCGUCCCACUAGUCUUUAUUCUCAAGCAGGGCUCUGGGCGAAAGCUUGUAUCAUAGGAAAUAAUAAAUAGAUGGUUCAUCCCUUCCUGUUUUUAACAUUUCGAAGCUAUACUCUGUUCCCAUUGAGUGUCAGUCAUAUGCGAGAUGCUGCACGAUACGAUACACGGUACCCGACACAUAAAAAUAGCGAGUUUAAGUACAUUGGAUGAACUCUACGAAGAUGACACGACAAAGGAAGUUAUCAAAUUCAAGCCUAGCAAUGUGAUUCCCCUUCGCUUCGAAGAAACUGGCCAAAAGGCUUAUCAUUAUUGGCAAGCGCGUUCGGAACCGCUAUCGUGACAUCACUUGCGAAUGACAUUCUGUUUCUUCGUGUAACUCGAUGUAAGACAAACGAAUGACAUUCGGCGCGAUUGUCAUUCGAUGGGAAUGCCGUUCGGUUUGUCGUGUGACAGGGGUAUUAGUUUCACGCACGCAACUGUGCAUUUUACAGUCAGAUAACAUUUAUUUACAGUAGUACAUACUGGUGCUGUCCCUUCCGGCCACUCGUACAAUUGUUCACCAUCAGAAACGCCAAAGGCGGAUAAUUACUCGCAACCUACACUGGACUACCGUAACCUAACCUAGCAAAAACUUACCUGGCCUAACCUAACCUAACUUGACGUUGAGAUAACAAAGGGUGCACGAUUCUGAGCAAAGUCACUGGUCACGAGUACGUUAACGUUUGUCCAUCUGAAGGAUAAACAGCGUGGGUGACGAACUUUAUGGCACAUAAAAUUAAUACGAAAUUAGCACGAAAAAUAAAAGUAAGAAAGAGAAAAAGUGCGCAUUUACGUAUCCAGGAAUUUGCAAUUCGCGUGUAGGAAUGCACUCGUGAAUUUCAUGUUACAUUUCUCCUUUCGCUUUUAUGUGCAACACUGUUUCAUAUGAUUCUGCUUUCGUUUAUUACUAUCCAUAUUACCUUUCCGUUAACGUAAAAUAUUAUUGUUGCAAUAGCACAGCCUUCUAUGUACUUGUACACAGCAUCUUAAUCUAAAAUCAAACUUAUAAAAUCAACCUGAAUUAUCCUCGGCUUUGAUAUAUUUCUCUUAUGGGCAAUCUCCCUACUCGUUACCGUGUGGCAUUUGUUGUUAUGAACUGAGGGUGGUGAUGAUAGAAUUGUUUGCUGUGGUCGGCUGCAAGAAAUACUGGCCUAUCUAUGACUGUUUUUUUUUUCUUUUUUUGAUACCCGAAAUGACAGCAACCCCAGAGGUGUCUAUGGAAUAAUGCAAGAAAUAAGUAAUGGGCAGUAAUUUUUUUAAUUACCGCACGUGUUGCCGUGAAUCACCUCAUCCCAUCGCCAUUCAUGUAGUUGUUGUCAAUUAAGGGGACAAUGGUAACAAAUGAAAAAAUGAAAUAAAGGAAGGUAAUUUGAAAAUGAACCCUAGUGGGGCUGAUUUUGAAUUUCCAGUAGCACUCCAUUCGUGUGUGUGCCUUUAUUUUUUUUUAUUUUUUUUCGCUGUCCGCGACAUUAUACUUCCAGCUUCAGAGCUAUACGCGUGUUGGUAUCAAUCGUAUCGAAAGAGAUUACGGGUACUAUUACUGUUGUGGUCAUGUGGUUUUAUUACCCUUUCCUCUGUUCUAUGCAUGUUGGAGAAAGAAGGGCGGACGUAUAAAAAGCAUGCUACACGGGGUUUUGAAUCUUGGCGUAUUAUUUAAUUCAUAUAAAUGUCAGAAGGGCCAACAAGCGUCGCGUUUUAAAGGUGAACAACGUGAUGGCCUCUAUUAACGUCAACCUUGCAACAUUGAAACAUUUUCUGAGAGGAUCAUAAUGGCAAAACCCCGAGACAGAGGGCGACGAAGGGCACACACGCGGCACACAACGUCACAAACACGACUCGAAGUCGGAUACGAGAUCUCCCUCUGCCCACACACAAUAACGGCUAUCUUAACUGUAGUGCCCUUUUAGAGUUCUUGAAUACCGACCCAGAAAAGUAAGAGAGGAGAAUGGGCCUCGCUUCUCAUGGGACUUCUUGUUAUCAAUGGGGUAUUCGUGCCAGAGUCUGCCAGAGCUGGCCUUCCACGAGCGAGCGCCAGUGCAGACUGUGCAGGUCAAGCAUACAACCAAGUUAUGCGGAUGUUUUGCAUGGUGAUCCUUCGCCUCCAAGGGCCAACGCAUGGAAACCGCAUCGAAAGUUUGUUGACUUUUUUAGACUGCAAUGCUUCCAACAUCUUGGUAAGAGAACUUGCCUUAUUUAUUUUUGGUUAAGGAGAGCUGAACGCCUCUAGGUUAAUAGUAUUGAUAGUUUGUGUAACAGUUGUGAUCUGACAAAAUGGCGUAGGUGCAGGCUUGCUGGUGGAUAAACUUUAUAAUGUAGAGGCCGGAGUCUGUGCACACAAAGGUAUGAUGUGCUCACGUGUUUGUGCAGUACUACACGAACCUGACAUAAGUUAUUUUGCCGUUCUCGUCGACCUUCUAUUUCUUUCGCCCCAAUUAUCGUUCAAUCGCCCCGCAUGUAAGAGUGUUUUAGAGUGUGUUGGAGUAAUUUCAAACAUAAACGCAGCAAGUGACUCAUACGGACAAAGGAACAGACGACAAGAUUGCGCCUUGCGAGAAGACAAGCGAACGCAAUCCUGUCGCCUGUACCUUCUUCCUUCGUGCGUAUGUCAUUUUUUGCGUUUACGUUUGUUAUUAUAUGACAUACCAGCCCGUUUUGCGUUUACUGUUUGCAUUUAGCGUAUAUGUGGAUGGAUUAGAAGAUGAUAUAUCGAUAUAUAUCGGAUUUCGUUGGCGGAAUAUUGGCAGCGACGUUCUGUGCGGGAAAAUGCAGAGCAAUUUGAAACCGCCAAAUUCCAAGUAAAAGAUAGAUAGUUGUGUUCGUUUUGAUAAAUAUGACUGUGUAUGCACGUAUUUUGAUGUAGUGUAUCAUAAGUAUUUCUUGUCGUUCUUUUUGCCGUUUAUCGAAACUGACAGCUUCUCAUCUUUUUGUGUAUAGCUGCUGAUUGAGUUCAGAAUAUUGUUCCGUCCAACGCGAACUCGUCGCACAAGCGCAGCAGGGAUUUGAAGAUCUUUUGAUGAUCGUACAGGAAAACGGCACGGAGGCUGAACUACUCCUCAUUGCAGAUAGCGACGGUGACCUGUGCGUCCUUGCUCUGAAAUUAAUUUCACGGAGAUAAAAUGAGUAGUCUUCGUCACUUAUCAUAGAGGAACAAGAGCUGCCUCUCUGCCCCAUAAUCAAGCUCAUCGAUAUAAACAUCAUUCAAAGGGCAAUUUUAAAGCUCGAAGAGACAAAGGCUCGGGAGAAGUGCAUUGCUUUUGUAAAUUUAUUUAUGUAGUACUGUAAAUAAACAUUUUUGCGUUUGGUUCACAAAACUUCGCAUUGUCUCUGAAGUUAUUUUAGGUACAGACACGACGCACUUUAUUCCUUGCGUGCUUUUGGUGCAAAGAAAGAUACUGUUCUGCACCCAGUGGUCUAGAUUUCUGUACCUCUGUAGUACCUUGCUGCUUAGAUUAGAUUAAAUUUAUACCUUCAAAUUACCUGAUAGAAACCUUCUAAACGGUAUUUAUUCUGCACCCAAAGGCGUGGAUUUCUAUACCGUUACUAUACCUUGUUCUAUUGACUAAAUAGAUACCUCGGGGUAUAUAAUUUGAACCUCUCAAUGUUACAUAUUUUACUCCCCAAGGGUUACUUUGUUAUACCUUUGCUAUACCCUGUUCCUGGGAUUCAGUUUAUACCUUGAGGUAUUUAAGUUAUGCCUUGUGAAUGGUAUUCAUUUUGCACCCACGGGUCUACAUUUUGAUACCUUUGCUAUACCCUGUUCCUGGGAUUAAAUUUAUACCCUGCAGUAUUGAAGUUAUACCCCAUGUAUGGUGUAUGCUUUGCACCCCAAGGUCUGAAUUUUCAUACCUUGCUGGAGGGAUAAAUUAUUAUACCUCACCUGGUGGUAUAAUUUUUGAUCCCUUUUGGGGGAUGCGCCACAGGACAAGCCAUUUAUACCUUUAAAGGUAUAAAUUUGGCUGACAGUGUAGGGCCAUGGGUGUACACGAGCGGGCGUCCUGUCGACGGUAUGAGGUUCGGGGAAUCGGCGUAGUCACAGGGGAGGCAUCGAAUGUAUUACUCCAUAGACGAAAGCGUGCCGGGCGAAUGCAAUGCAUCCUGGACAGGUCCUGGUCGCACGUCACAGCAAACGUCAACGCACACGUGACCUUAAAGAUGGUCGCGCCCGUGAUUGGCGGCCAAACCGUUUGUAAAUAACGCGUUUGUUGUUCCUACGCGACGUUUUGGACGUCUUUCGACUACGGUAAUUAUUUUCAUCCGAUAAUCUCGCAGUAAAACGUUCAGUUUUGUACAUAAGGCCUCGUACUGUUCACGACUUCCAAGGAUGUGAUGACGACCGCGCGUUAAGACAUACUGAGCCGGUGCGAUAUACUUAAACCAAGGAGGAAUGGGCUACCAUGUCGUGGAAGAAGCACCGCAUAGUUUACGCUUGCAAAAUACGUUCAUCUCUUGGCUUUAUGCCGACGGGAAUACGUAUACCGGCAAAAGGUAACACGACAUGUUAACAAUGUCACAUGACCACAAAUAGACGUUUUCUAUGACAUCUGACCAGGACAAGGUGGCGGUUUUGCAAGAAGCACCAGCUUGAGGGUAGUUACAAAAAUGGUGGAUUUAUGUCACCCCUGUGGGCGUAGUAGGAUGGACUAGACCUAAGAGCCAGGCAGAAUUUUUUCGGCGGCGGCAGCGGCGACCGCUGUCACAUGGCGUGGCAGUGUUUGGCGGCGCCCGGAUGAGCAAGAUGAGCAAUAUACGCCAUAUUGAAGGGGGGGGGGGCAAGUUGAAAUUCUUUUUUUAGAAAACUGGCCGUCCUAAUUUGGAACGUACUUGGGGGUGUAGGUACUAGCUGCACUGUUGGUCCCUCUGGAAACUGUGGAGUAAAAAUGACGCGAAUAUUUCAUGACAAUAUGGCCAAAAACGUUUCAUAUGCAACAGGAGGCAGAUUGUUUCAAUUCGCGUUUUUCGCAAAACCGACGCUGCACAGCGGUGAAAUUUGGGACUAGCCAAACCAGGUACACCCGGCCGACACCGCGUACAUUUGCGGAGAAGUUGUUGCUUUUCGCAGGAAUCGCUCAGCUGCACCCGUAUUUUGCUGUUGAAAUCAUGGAUGAAGUAAACAUUGCAGACAACGACCAGCGAACUAAACCAAACUAGUUUUGUUCUGUGUCACAAUGCGACUCUGCGCGCUGAGGGGAUAGCAGUUUGUCCUUCCGCGUUUUCUUCGUUCCACACAUAGAAUACCGCCUACUUCGACGCAUCCUCAGAAGGAAUGGAUUGAGCGACUCAAAAUCAGCAAACCUGUUACAUCAGCAAUGCUUGUGUGUGUCUGGCAGAGCUCUUGGAGCGGUACUGCCUACAUAUCUGAUGAACGUUCUUUCUCUUUUUUUUUCUUUUCUGAAGCACACUUCUGUGCAGCUCACGUCAGGAAGGGAAGCAAAAACGUGUCUAGACAAAACAGAACCAGUUUGUUUCAAACUUGAAUAGCCAUCAUGUGUAAGAAAGCGCAAGAGAUAGCAUGAAAACGUAUACCAAGUCAGUUUUGUAACUCUGCAUUUGAAUCAGCUCGUCAAAUCACUUGGGAAAGAAUGCAGAAAGAAUGCGACUUUUCGUUAAGGUUUCCCAAAAACAUGCGCACCAGUGACACACGGAUGUCGCAACAUUACCGUGUUACUUGUAAACUACAUUCGUACACGCGCUACACACUUAGAAGAUGUUAGCUGUAAGAGAACUGCAGCACAGAUGUCGUGUGCUUGCAUGUCUGUCACAUUCCUGCAGCGCAGGACACUCGCUGCUUGCUAUUUCGACCUCGCAACCGGUAGACGUGAAAUUCACCUUCACGAAAUGUGGUUGAUCAAACACGCCGGAACUUCACAAAUAAUACGCGACAACUAUAGCCUUCUCUUUGGACAACCCGGUUACGCCUGCCAGAAGUAUAUGAGCAGCGUUUAAUGCUCGUUCGCCUUCAACGCAUCGAGAAUUAACAUUGCAGUUCAGAAAUCUCAAAAUCGAAACUAAGCAACAACCAGGAUACGUCCGCCAUGUUGGAGUUGAGAUGCGCCACCUACAGGCUACAGGUCGUGAAAAACGCGAAUAUGCCCCAACCUUGGGGGACGUAGCAACAGGCUACGGGUGUGUUCAUGGGUUCACAUGCGUUCACAUUUUUAUAUGGUCGGCGGAGGUGAAAGACAGGUACGAGGCUGCGUCUUGGACGUCAACAUCCAACACGAAAACCGACGUUUCCAAGCAUAGAGUUAAUAUAGGAAAACUCUAGAGAACGGACUUGGCGCUCCGUCAAUGGGAUUUUCCUAUCCCCGCGUGACCGCCCGGGCGCAGCCAACCGUUGGUCAUGGACAGUGCUAGUGGACGAAUUUUGGACCCCCAAUAACAGCGGAGCUACUCCGUUUGUUGCCAACUGCCAACCCUGUGCAGUCACGGGGGAUAACAAAUGGGGAAACGGGCCGAUGGAGGGAACCGAGGGAACGACGCCCAGCGAAGGAAGCGAGGCAAGCUGUGUAAUUGCGUUGAGUACGUUCGAACCCUUUGGAUGCGUGCAGAAUUGAUUGGUAUCACACGGUAAACGUUGUCAUAUCAAACGUGAAUCUAUUUUAUCUGCGAGAUUGCCUGCGACACCGCCAACCCUUUGCUUUCCACCGACACGGAUGAACAUGUUUACCGCCUAUGACGUGUUGAAGUGGCGUUUGUAUGCUUUGCGAGCGAAAUCAGUAAAUCGUGUCCCAUCGUAACGAAUGUUGACAUGUAUUGCCGAAGGCAACAUAAUCCAAAGAUGAAUACACACAGUUAACCGUCAUCUUCAUGCUGCUCUGCAAAGCAACGGGAACCGGAAAUGGCAAAAACGAAACCACCCACCAUUCUAGCCAUUCCAUACUGUGGUCUGUCAAGUUUCGUGGUGCAGGCGACGAACGAACGACAGCACACAAGCAAGUGGUGUGGUGGCGGUGGUGGUGUGGGGAUGUAUUUAUUAGACGAAAAGGAAAAAAUAACGGGGGAAACGUCAGCCAAACGGGACGUCGGCUUGCUAUUCCGGAAAGAAAGAAAUAAGAAAGAAAUAAAAAGAAAAGAAUUAAAGGAAAGAAAUAAGAAGGAACAAUAAAUAAAUAAAAUUAAGAAAUAAAGAAUUAGGAAAUAAAGGAUAAACUAACAAAGGAUGAAAGAAGGAUGAGGUAGAGUGGGAAAAUAUUCACUACUUAUUGUUUGAAGGGUCUCUGACCAGAACCUGGUAAAUGUCUUUCUUUUUAUGGAUCACGAAACUACAUGGUGUCUCCAAGUUACACUUGAAACGUUUCGUCUCUGCGGACGUCGCAUGGACGUCGAAGGAGGAAGCACAGCAGAGUCAACAAGUCAGCUUUUCAGCUACCUUUCAGCAAUUGAGAGGGAAGUUCUGCUACGUGCAGCAGAGUUUGGAAGCCUUGCUUUUGAAAUGUUGAGCCGCGGAUCGACUUCAGCAUGAAGAGAAGUUCCAACAACAGACUGCUAGAUGAGCUUUCAGCAUUCAUCAUGAUGAAGCACAUGAACAGUUUGUGUAAAUUUCGUGUUUCACGGCGCCGUCUUUUUAAGGUGCCGGAGUGGUUCCUGCAUAAUAAUGCCGAAAGAAGUCGAGUGCUAAUGCUGCAAGGAGCUGCCCUUAAAAUAGCAUAUUUAGAACUUCGAGGGCAGCACGAACCUAUGAGCGCUCACAUUCGCAAGUAAGAAGCGUGCCUCAUGCUGGUGGGUUUCAAUACAAAAUUGUUAUUCUGAACUUUUCGUCAUUGUUCGUCACUUAUUCAGGAAGAGUGCAGCUGAAAUACUACUCGCUGUCCUACUAGCUUUAGCUUUGUUCAAAGCUUGCGUGUCUCAUACAGGAAAUACAGAUACACUACAUACCAACAGCUUGUGCGAUGGGUGUUGCACAAACUUGAAAACAAACAAAGAAACAAACAAGAGAAUGGUUAUAUCAGCCUGUGCGGUGAACAGGAUACGCAAAGCCUUUCCCAUAGUAACUACUACAUGCUUUAAAUACCCAAGAUAUUAGGUGGAGGUACGUCUUACCAUAAUUUCCCUCAUUUCGUUCAUAUUGACGAAAAAGUGCACUUGGUAUAUAGACAGCCUGUGUUUAUAAGUAACUUAGUCCAGCACAGUUCAUGGUCAUUCAUGCCAUACUAUACGAAUAUUCAGACUGUAACAGCAUUUGAAAAAUCUUUCAGACACUUCCCUUAUGAAAAAAAAAUUCUAUUUUCUACAGAAUUUCUAUAGGAAACCCUAGAUA